rnacentral:lncRNA from 1 species
UCGCUUUGUCGCCCAGGCUGGAGUGCAGUGGCACCAUCUCGGCUCACUGCAACCUCCACCUCCUGGGUUCACGCCAUUCUCCUGCCUCAGCCUCCCAAGUAGCUGGGACUACAGGCGCCCGCCACCACGCCUGGCUAAUUUUUUGUAUUUUUGGUAGAGACAGGGUUUCACCGUGCUAGCCAGGAUGCUCUCGAUCUCCUGACAUUGUGAUCCACCUGCCUCCGCCUCCCAAAGUGCUGGGAUUACAGGCGUGAGCCACCGCGACUGGCCCGAGACCCUCUUAAAAAAAAAAAGAAAAAAGAAGGAAAAAGGAGCUCAGAGGAUGCGGGGAGAAUGUAGAGAGCCGAGGAGAGCUCCAGAGACACAGAGACAAGAGACCAGCCUCAGAGGCUGACCACCAGCCUCCUGCUUGCUCCUCAGUUCUCCACUGGUGGAGUCCCUCUCCUUCCUGUCUCUGGCUUCUGGGAUAGAGUCCUCUCUGCUCAGAGAACCCCCUGGGGGUUUAAGCGCUGCAAAUGUGUUUCCUUCUCUUCUGACCAAAGGGUUCUUCUGUACCAUCACUCAAUAACUCCCAACCAGGAUGUGCCUGCCUGGACCCCCAUCGUGCUCCAACCAAAAGCUGGCCCGGGUCCCGACUGCCCUCUCAGCUGGCAGAGGAUGGAGCCAUUUGGCUCCGCUUCUGAAGUGGGCGCCACGAGCUCACGCUUGGCUCGUGCUCCUCACCGAUGCUCUCUCUGCUCGGCCUUGCUGAGCCAGGCGGGGUUCUGGCUUCAGUGCUGCGUCUUCUCUCCUCCAUGAACAGAAAUCCCCGAAGGUCAGCGGUCUUGAGUAUAAUCGUCUUCAGAUAUCUGAAGAGCCGGUGUGAACAGCCGUUCAACUCAAUUGCCCCACUUUUCAUCGAGCAUUUCCUCUCUGCCUGCACGACUGAGGUCUUCUCUGAUUUUUUUUAGUAAUUCAUAUUGAUUUAUUUUAUAAGUUCUAUUGCUUCUAUUGAUAAUUUCAUUAAUUAAUAGAAAAUUAAGAUGAGGUCAUUUUGGUAGCACAAAUAUUGAAAUAGAGUUUUGAAAUAGUAUGAUCAACUAAUUUAUCGUCGUCACCAGGACUUUUUGAUAGUGAAACUGGGCUCUUUUACUAAUUAUGUGGGGAAAACAGGUAUAAACGGAGACUGUCCCAUGCAAACUGAAAUAUAUCAUCACUAUUGAGAGAUGACUUGCUCAAACCUUAACAUCCCAUUUAUUUCCGAAUUUGUUUUAAUGAUGGAAACAAGGGAGGGAAUCUGAGUCACACAGGGAGUAGCUGCAAAUGGUAACAGGUUUUUUUUUUUUAUGCUUGCCUUUUUUAUUUUUUGUUUUGAGAUGGAGUCUUGCUCUGUCGCCCAGGCUGCAGUGCAGUGGCGUUAUCUCAGCUCACUGCAGGCUCCGCCCCCCGA